rnacentral:lncRNA from 1 species
GUAUAUAGAAAUUCCGUAAACAUUUGAUUUGGAACAAGGUGAAACAGAAGAGCUAGAUCGAAGAAAGGAUAGGGUUUAUGAAGACAGAAAGAAGAGAAGGGAAAUUGGGGAUUGAAAAAAGAGAUGCAACGAAGGCAAGAUUUGGGGUAGGUAGAAGAAUCUGGGGAAGGUGAAAAGGUUUAUCCGAAGAAGGUUUGAAGAUAGGUGAGAGUUAGGUUUUAUAGAAAAAAUGAUGGGAUAGGGUGGGUGGAAAACGUGCUAGGGUGCACUGGCAUAGGAAUAAUUAAUUGGAAUUUUUUAUUUUUUUUUAGGGCUUAAUGACAACGCGUCAUAGCUGGCUCCAACGUGACUGUCAGGGAAAGAAACAGCUAUUUUCCUCACACUUCCCAACACUUUUCAACUCUUACCUUUCCCUCUCUCUAUUAUUUAAGUGGAGUAAUUAAAAAGAUAACUUAAAUAAAUCUAUAUAUUUUGUUGCAUGCCCGUGAAUGAUUACAUAUAGGAUGUGUCUUUAAUUAAAUUAUAAUACGAUUUUCAUUUCAAACAUAAAAAGAGUUAAUGUUCCCAAAAUAAACACCCUAUUUUUUGUAGUGAAUUUAUUUUUAUUAGUUUCGAAAUUAGGGCAAAAAAAAACACAUAAGAAUAUGUAUAAUUGAAAAAGUAAAUACAAAUUAAUAUUUACCCUAUAUUCACACUAAAAAGGAGUUUACUGGUCAUGAAUUAAUAAUUAAUGUAAAAUUGUUUUCCUAUCAAUUAUAUUAAAUAAUGAUAUAUAUAUAUAUAUGUAUGUAAUUUAACUUAUUUUCUUUAUAAAUAAUAAACUAUUAUUUUUUAAAUUUUUUAUUAUAUCAAUAUUAUUAGGGCAUUAGUAAUUUUUUACAUCAACAUUACUUAAUUUGUAAUGUUAAAUUAAAAUGUAAUUUAAUUUUUUAAUUUAAAUUGCAUAAAAAAUGUAAUCUAAAAAAUACUAAAAAUAGUGCAAUAAUUAAAAUAAAUAGUUAAUACUCAGAUAAGAAAAUAUAUUUUAAAAUAUAUAAGAUAGUAAUAGAAAAAAUUGCAUACACUAGAAGGUAGAUGAAGAAACUUAUAAUUUAAAAUUUAAAAAUUCUUAAUAUAAACUAAUUAAGGUAGUUUAUCAAAUAUUUUCAUAUUAAUUAAACUAAUUAAUAAUAGAUAAUGUAUUAAUGUUAGAAAAUACAUUCUUAAUGAGUAAAAUUUUGACGUAAAUGUGAGGAAUGCCUGAAACAUUUAUCAAUGCUCAAAUAAAUAUUGUUUCAGUAAGAGAUAAGCACGAGAUUUACUCACACUUAAUAUUUUUAAUAAAAGAAGAAACAAAUUACAGAGAAGGGACAAAAUAAUUUUAAAAGGUCUUUAAAAAAUGAAUUCAUUAAAAUCAAUUAAUUGUUGGGAUAAAAUGAAAAUUUGAUAUUUUAGAGGGAAAAAAAAUCAAACUAAGACUGAGACCUAUGAAACAUAAUCUCUAUUUUUCCAAUUGAAACAAUUAAUCUUUAAUUUUUUUUUUAACUCUUACCAUUAUAACAAUUUAGAAACUAACUUUUUAUUAUUUUGUUUUUUUUCAGUGAAUAUUAUACUUAAAUAGUCAAUUGUUCUUUGUAGGAUCGAUAUCUAUCCUUAUGAACAAAUAAUUAUUUUUGACAACACGGUACACUUGCUGUAAAAAGUCAUCAGCUACCUCCUGGGACUAUUUGGUCGUUAGUAGUACACUUACCCCUUCAUGCUUAAGGGAAUUAUCCUAAAGAGUCUUAACAUGGUUACCUCAUGAGUUGGUUAUGGAUGGGGAUGCAUGUGUUCAAUCAACUUGUAACGAAUUCGUAUAAUUGAUUUGUGUUGGGUGUAUACGAUUGAUUUCUUCCUUUUAGUAGCACUUUUCUUCCUUCCUCAUCCUCUCAUAAUGUUCGAGUUUCAAUUCUCGGUCGUACCUGCAAAAGGUUAUCGGAAGCUCAAGUGAGUAUUUCGUAUUUAGAUGCAAUUAAUGUUGUAAUAAUGACAUAUAUUUACCUUUGUUGUUGUGCCUAUUUAUAGUAUCUGAUGACUUAUUUAGUGUUUGGCCUAGAUCAAGGCAU